rnacentral:rRNA from 1 species
AUUGAACGCUGGCGGCAGGCUUAACACAUGCAAGUCGAGCGGAGAUGAGGUGCUUGCACCUUAUCUUAGCGGCGGACGGGUGAGUAAUGCUUAGGAAUCUGCCUACUAGUGGGGGACAACAUUCCGAAAGGAAUGCUAAUACCGCAUACGUCCUACGGGAGAAAGCAGGGGAUCUUCGGACCUUGCGCUAAUAGAUGAGCCUAAGUCGGAUUAGCUAGUUGGUGGGGUAAAGGCCUACCAAGGCGACGAUCUGUAGCGGGUCUGAGAGGAUGAUCCGCCACACUGGGACUGAGACACGGCCCAGACUCCUACGGGAGGCAGCAGUGGGGAAUAUUGGACAAUGGGGGGAACCCUGAUCCAGCCAUGCCGCGUGUGUGAAGAAGGCCUUAUGGUUGUAAAGCACUUUAAGCGAGGAGGAGGCUACUGAGACUAAUACUCUUGGAUAGUGGACGUUACUCGCAGAAUAAGCACCGGCUAACUCUGUGCCAGCAGCCGCGGUAAAAC